rnacentral:rRNA from 1 species
GGUAAGGCCCUUCGGGGUACACGAGCGGCGAACGGGUGAGUAACACGUGGGUGAUCUGCCCUGUACUUCGGGAUAAGCCUGGGAAACUGGGUCUAAUACCGGAUAUGACCACUGGUCGCAUGGUUGGUGGUGGAAAGAUUUAUCGGUACAGGAUGGGCCCGCGGCCUAUCAGCUUGUUGGUGGGGUAAUGGCCUACCAAGGCGACGACGGGUAGCCGACCUGAGAGGGUGACCGGCCACACUGGGACUGAGACACGGCCCAGACUCCUACGGGAGGCAGCAGUGGGGAAUAUUGCACAAUGGGCGAAAGCCUGAUGCAGCGACGCCGCGUGAGGGAUGACGGCCUUCGGGUUGUAAACCUCUUUCGACAGGGACGAAGCGUAAGUGACGGUACCUGUAGAAGAAGCACCGGCCAACUACGUGCCAGCAGCCGCGGUAAUACGUAGGGUGCGAGCGUUGUCCGGAAUUACUGGGCGUAAAGAGCUUGUAGGCGGUUUGUCGCGUCGUUUGUGAAAACUUGGGGCUCAACCCCAAGCUUGCAGGCGAUACGGGCAGACUAGAGUACUUCAGGGGAGACUGGAAUUCCUGGUGUAGCGGUGAAAUGCGCAGAUAUCAGGAGGAACACCGGUGGCGAAGGCGGGUCUCUGGGAAGUAACUGACGCUGAGAAGCGAAAGCGUGGGUAGCGAACAGGAUUAGAUACCCUGGUAGUCCACGCCGUAAACGGUGGGUACUAGGUGUGGGUUUCCUUCCACGGGAUCCGUGCCGUAGCUAACGCAUUAAGUACCCCGCCUGGGGAGUACGGCCGCAAGGCUAAAACUCAAAGGAAUUGACGGGGGCCCGCACAAGCGGCGGAGCAUGUGGAUUAAUUCGAUGCAACGCGAAGAACCUUACCUGGGUUUGACAUACACCAGAAAGCUGCA